GCGGGAAUAGCUCAGUUGGUAGAGCACGCCCUUGCCAAGGUCGGGGUCGCGAGUUCGAGUCUCGUUUCCCGCUCCA
rnacentral:tRNA from 9 species